GAGAGAGAGAGAGAGAGAUAUAGACGGUUGGAUGGUUUUUGUUUAUUUAUUUUUUUUGGGUGGGGGCCUAAGAUGUAAUUUUUAUGAUUUUGGGUCCUUGCUUGCAAUUUAAGAUUAGGGUUAGUUAUUUUUUAAAAUAAAAAUUUAAAUUUCUAUCCCUGAAGUUAUUUAAUUUCUUGAGCGAGAGCAAGAGCAAGCGACGGGACAUGUAUUGGCAGAUGGAUCGGUCUCUACAAUACUGAAAGAGAACAAGGCGACAUGCCCGAGAACCAUGAUGGGGAACACAUAUAAUAGAAGGCAUUCAAAGCCCCCAAAAGAAAAGGAAUUAGAGACUGACAAAGUGAUAGUAUUGUGGGUAGAUGGUGCUAAGCAGGGAGGAACAGACAGUGAUAUUGAGCAGGUGGAGGAAGUAGAGGAAUGUUCACGUGAUCCUUUGGAGUAUCGUCAUGCAGAGGAAACAACAAAACUGAAUGUGAUUGAAGUUGAGACCCCAUCUUCAAAUUGAGUUCUUCAAAAAAUUCAGGACUUCAGCAAGUUGGUUGGUGCGUCAUGUGAAGGAUAUGAAAGUAGACUUCUGCAAUUAUUUGAAGAAAUUGAGGCUAGUAGGGGACAAGGGAUGAGUAUACAAGGCAGCAAAUCAAGAAGGAAGGGUGAUUGUGAACUUAAGCGGCUCAAAUGGUUAGUGAAUUAUGAUGUCAAGGGUGUCAUGUCAAAGAAAGGUUUGCUUGGGACGAAUGAGAGAGCAUCAAGAUAAAUAAAAAAUAAUUAGUUGGAACGUAAGGGGGCUUAAUGAAGCGGGAAAAAUGUUAGGUGUUCGAAAUCUGUUAAGGGGAUAGAGGGCUAACCUUGUCUGCCUACAAGAAACGAAGAUAGAGUUUAUCUAGAGGACGAUUGUUAGCAGUUUAUGGGGGGACAGCAUGUCGAAUAUC
rnacentral:lncRNA from 1 species